UACGUAGGGAGCAAGCGUUGUCCGGAAUCAUUGGGCGUAAAGCGCGCGUAGGUGGCUUCGUAAGUCCGUUGUGAAAGUCAAAGGCUCAACCUUUGAAAGCCGAUGGAUACUGCGGAGCUAGAGUACGGAAGAGGCGAGUGGAAUUCCUGGUGUAGCGGUGGAAUGCGCAGAUAUCAGGAGGAACACCAAUAGCGAAGGCAGCUCGCUGGGACGGUACUGACGCUAAGGCGCGAAAGCGUGGGGAGCAAACAGG
rnacentral:rRNA from 1 species